CUACGGGAGGCAGCAGUGGGGAAUAUUGCACAAUGGGGGAAACCCUGAUGCAGCGACGCCGCGUGAGUGAUGACGCCUUUCGGGGUGUAAAGCUCUUUCAGUGGGAACGAUAAUGACGGUACCCACAGAGGAAGGUGCGGCUAACUACGUGCCAGCAGCCGCGGUAAUACGUAGGCACCGAGCGUUGUUCGGAGUUACUGGGCGUAAAGAGUGCGUAGGCGGUUCCGUAAGUUUGGUGUGAAAUCUCCCGGCUCAACUGGGAGGCUGCAUCGCAAACUACAGAGCUUGAGCAUGGGAGAGGAAAGCGGAAUUCCCGGUGUAGCGGUGAAAUGCGUAGAUAUCAGGAGGAACACCGGCGGUGUAGACGGCUUUCUGGACCAUUGCUGACGCUGAGGCACGAAAGCGUGGGGAGCAAACAGGAUUAGAUACCCGGGUAGUCC
rnacentral:rRNA from 1 species